rnacentral:rRNA from 1 species
UACGAGAGGCCCAAACGUUAUUCGGAAUUACUGGGCUUAAAGAGUUCGUAGGCGGCAUGAAAAGUAGGGUGUGAAAGCCCUCGGCUCAACCGAGGAAUUGCGCUCUAAACUGUCGUGCUAGAGGAAGCUAGAGGUGAGCGGAACUGAUGGUGGAGCGGUGAAAUGCGUUGAUAUCAUCAGGAACACCGGAGGCGAAGGCGGCUCACUGGGGCUUUUCUGACGCUGAGGAGCGAAAGCGUGGGGAGCGAACAGG